rnacentral:rRNA from 1 species
UACGGAGGGGGCUAGCGUUGUUCGGAAUUACUGGGCGUAAAGCGCACGUAGGCGGCUUUGUAAGUUAGAGGUGAAAGCCCGGGGCUCAACUCCGGAAUUGCCUUUAAGACUGCAUCGCUAGAAUUGUGGAGAGGUAAGUGGAAUUCCGAGUGUAGAGGUGAAAUUCGUAGAUAUUCGCAGGAACACCAGUGGCGAAGGCGGCUUACUGGUCCAUAACUGAACGACUGAGGUGGCGGAAAGCGUGGGGAGCAAACAGG